UACGUAGGGUGCAAGCGUUGUCCGGAAUUAUUGGGCGUAAAGAGCUCGUAGGCGGUUCGUCGCGUCGGCUGUGAAAUCCCGAGGCUCAACCUCGGGUCUGCAGUCGAUACGGGCGGACUGGAGUUCGGCAGGGGAGACUGGAAUUCCUGGUGUAGCGGUGAAAUGCGCAGAUAUCAGGAGGAACACCGGUGGCGAAGGCGGGUCUCUGGGCCGAUACUGACGCUGAAGCGCGAAAGCCAGGGGAGCGAACGGG
rnacentral:rRNA from 1 species